rnacentral:misc_RNA from 1 species
AAAAAGAGUUGAUACAGACAUACAAAAAUUCAACGAAAAACUCGACUGUAGAUAAUUAAACACCAUGACACCAUAAUCUAGUUUCAGAAUAAAAACUGCCUAGACAAACAACUAUCAUCAAAUGAGAAAUCAUAGCCAAAACUAUGACCUGACACAAACUGCAUCAUGCAUCCAAAGGGUACUCGAACACCACAUCCUUCCCACAGAGCUUGCGGUAGACACCAGAAAAUGUGUCCAGCUUGUUCUCAGUGUUGUUGCGCUCCUUCGGGUCCAGAAAGAUCUUCAUGAUCUUAGAACCAUCCAAUCGAUACCUAACACGCUUCCCAACAAUUUCAGCUGGGUACACAACAUCCUCCAAUAUGGCUUCAUGAACAGCAGUGAGUGUGCGGCUGCGAGGACGCACAACAGCAGAGCCUUUCUUUGGGGGCCUCACUAUCCUCCGAGUGGCAAUCACAAUCACCUCCUUGCCACUGAACUUCUUCUCUAGUUCCCUGACAAGCCUCACAUGAAUCUUCCUGUAAGACUUCCGAAGUCUAAAGGGCACAUGAACAACUACAGCCUUCUUGUUGUUGGCUACAUCCAGUUGAACUGCUGAGUUAAUGUACAGGUCUUUCAAUUCACUCUUCAGCUCGCUAUUAGAAUUCUCCAAAUCAAAGAAAGCUUGAGCAACAGAGUCCUCAAACUCAGUGGGCUCCACACCCUUGUCCUUCUGGAUUUUCCUCCUUGCAGUGUACAUUUUGAUAACUGUAGGAGACUGGGAGAGGAGGCGAGCGCGAGA